AUUGAACGCUGGCGGCAGGCCUAACACAUGCAAGUCGAACGAGUGGCGGACGGGUGCGUAAUGUCUGGGAAACUGCCCGAUGGAGGGGGAUAACUACAGGAAACGGUAGCUAAUACCGCAUACCAUCGGAUGUGCCCAGAUGGGAUUAGCUAGUAGGUGUGGUAACGGCUCACCUAGGCGACGAUCCCUAGCUGGUCUGAGAGGAUUAGCAGCCACACUGGAACUGAGACACGGUCCAGACUCCUACGGGAGGCAGCAGUGGUGAAUAUUGCACAAUGGGUGCAAGCCUGAGGCAGCCAUGCCGCGUGUAUGAAGAAGUCCUUCGGGUUGUAAAGUACUUUCAGCGAGGAGGCGUUACUCGCAGAAGAAGCACCGGCUAACUCCGUGCCAGCCGCCGCGGUAAUUC
rnacentral:rRNA from 1 species